ACUAUUAAUAAAACUAUUCCAGAAUUUUUAUGUGGUAUACUUUUGUUUAUUUUAAUUAAGAACAUGCUAGUAAAACGCAAAGUAUAGUACUUGAUUUCUGAUCAAUUGUUUGUUUCACAUCUUUCAAGGAAGAUCUAGUUUCUGUAGUGAUUAGAAUCGUGAUUAGAAUCCUCCAGUAUCUAGUAGAUUAGCUGCAAACUCAUGGUUUUUAAAUAUAUUAUUAAUGGUGGACCAGAAUUGGUGUUCAUUACAUGAAACAUGCCUGUAAGUUUAGGUUUACCAUUUUAACAUUUAGAGCAGAUUGUGAGAUCAGGAAAAAUUAAACAAAUUAUGCAUCAGAAAUCAGUUCUACAAAAUGAAAUUUCUCCAGGCAACUUUCAGAAGAAAAGAUCAUUAUUUAUCAGAUUCCAGGAUUUUACCAAAGUAAAGAUUAAACAUG
rnacentral:misc_RNA from 1 species